rnacentral:rRNA from 1 species
GAUAAACGCUGGCGGCGCACAUAAGACAUGCAAGUCGAACGGACUUAACUCGAAGUUUACUUUGAGAGCGGUUAGUGGCGGACUGGUGAGUAACGCGUGGGCAACCUGCCCUGUACAGGGGGACAACAGUUGGAAACGACUGCUAAUACCGCAUAAGCGCACAGCUUCGCAUGAAGCAGUGUGAAAAACUCCGGUGGUACAGGAUGGGCCCGCGUUGGAUUAGGUAGUUGGUGGGGUAACGGCCUACCAAGCCGACGAUCCAUAGCCGACCUGAGAGGGUGACCGGCCACAUUGGGACUGAGACACGGCCCAG